rnacentral:rRNA from 1 species
UGAAUACGAGACGCUAAGGCGUCGAAGUAGUGUAUGUCAUACUUCCAAGAAAAGCUUGCACUGUCAUAGAUAAAAAACGCCUGUACCAUAACCGACACAGGUGGGUAGGUAGAGUAUACUAAGGGGCGCGAGAUAACUCUCUCUAAGGAACUCGGCAAAAUAACUCCGUAACUUCGGGAGAAGGAGUGCCUUAUUAUUAAGGCUGCAAUAACAAGAUCCAAGCAACUGUUUAUCAAAAACACAGGUCUCCGCUAAGUCGUAAGACGAUGUAUGGGGGCUGACGCCUGCCCAGUGCCAGAAGGUUAAAGAAGUUGGUUAGCAUUUGCGAAGCUGAUAACUGAAGCCCUGGUGAACGGCGGCCGUAACUAUAACGGUCCUAAGGUAGCGAAAUUCCUUGUCGGGUAAGUUCCGACCCGCACGAAAGGCGUAAUGAUUUGGAUACUGUCUCGGAGAGGGGCUCGGCGAAAUAGACUUGUCUGUGAAGAUGCGGACUACCUGCACCAGGACAGAAAGACCCUAUGAAGCUUUACUGUAACUUGAAAUUGAAAUUGGACUUUAUUCGCGCAGCAUAGGUGGGAGGCGUUGAUUAUAAUCUUGUGGGAUUAUUGGAGCCAUCAGUGAGAUACCACUCUUGUAAUGUUAGAUUUCUAACUUUGAAUCAUUAUCUGGUCAAAGAACAGUUUCAGGCGGGCAGUUUGACUGGGGCGGUCGCCUCCUAAACGGUAACGGAGGCGUACAAAGGUUUCCUCUGAACGGUUAGAAAUCGUAUCUAGAGUGUAAAGGCAUAAGGAAGCUUGACUGUGAGACCUACAAGUCGAGCAGGGACGAAAGUCGGUCUUAGUGAUCUGACGGUACUGAGUGGAAAGGCCGUCACUCAACGGAUAAAAGUUACUCUAGGAUAACAGGCUGAUCUCCCCCAAGAGUUCACAUCGACGGGGAGGUUUGGCACCUCGAUGUCGGCUCAUCGCAUCCUGGGGCGGUAGUACGUCCCAAGGGUUGGGCUGUUCGCCCAUGAAAGCGGUACGCGAGCUGGGUUCAGAACGUCGUGAGACAGUUCGGUCCAUAUCCGGUGUAGGCGUUAGAAUAUUGAGAGGAGCCUUCUUUAGUACGAGAGGACCGAGAAGGACAUACCUCUGGUGUACCAGUUAUCGUGCCAACGGUAAACGCUGGGUAGCUAUGUAUGGAGUGGAUAACCGCUGAAAGCAUCUAAGUGGGAAGCCCACCUCAAGAUAAGUAUUCUCA